UGGAGGCAAUCGGGGGAAAAGGAUUUUAUUUUUCAUCUGAUUACCAUCAUUUUCUCUCCCUCUCUCGGGUCUAAGAGUGGGAUGGAUGUAGGAAGAGGAAGGAGUUGUACUAAUAUGGGUUACUGAAAUGUUAUUGGCCCAUGUUAAAUACAGAAAUGGAGGGUUUAGAAAUGUUUAAGGUGAUUUUACUUUGCCACAGUGUCCAAGCACCUGAUCAAUGGACUUGUCUUGAUGAAGAGGGCAGUGGUGAGCAUUUGGGGUGCUGUUGAAUUUGUGUGGUGGCUCACACACACUAGGACCACAUAUCCUCCCUCAAAAUUUUGGAAAUUUUAAAAAACUCAUCCUUAACUGCAGAGAGUUUAUAAAAUAUAUUGUCAAAGAUAACAUAGCCCUAGUCACAUGGUAAGGAAAAGCCAACAAUCAAGAAAUGCUUGGAAACUGAGAAAUGGUAAAGGCAGGAGUACAAAGGAGGUGAAGAGAAUGGUCACGAUGAGCCUCCAGAGCACAGCACUCAUUUACUUUGAGCAAAGACUCAACUCCAGAAUCCUUCCCAAUCCAACAGUCCAGGCUGUCAUUACUAAUCAGAAUGGGCAAGUGGUUUCCAACUCAUUUGCCAAGGUAGAGAAAAGAAGAGCAGGAAGAAAGAGGAUAAAGACAGAGGAACAAAUACCAGACCAGCAAACUUACCUGAAUCCAGCUGCCCUCAGAAUAUGGCUGAGGCUUGGUCAAAGCCCAGAACUUAGCAAGGGUUAGAGGACAUCAUGGGACCAUAUUCCCAGUCACUCCAGGUUUGAGAAACAAUUCCACAACCGCUCUUCUCCCAUCAAGCUAAUACAUUUUGAGGAAAAACUCAAGAUUUCAAGAAAUAGGCUCUCGGACACAAUUCUGUGGGGGAG
rnacentral:lncRNA from 1 species